rnacentral:rRNA from 1 species
AACGAACGCUGGCGGCAUGCCUAACACAUGCAAGUCGAACGAGACCUUCGGGUCUAGUGGCGCACGGGUGCGUAACGCGUGGGAACCUGCCUUUAGGUUCGGAAUAACUCAGAGAAAUUUGAGCUAAUACCGGAUAAUGUCUUCGGACCAAAGAUUUAUCGCCUUUAGAUGGGCCCGCGUAAGAUUAGCUAGUUGGUGGGUAAAGGCCUACCAAGGCGACGAUCUUUAGCUGGUCUGAGAGGAUGAUCAGCCACACUGGGACUGAGACACGGCCCAGACUCCUACGGGAGGCAGCAGUGGGGAAUAUUGGACAAUGGGCGAAAGCCUGAUCCAGCAAUGCCGCGUGAGUGAUGAAGGCCUUAGGGUUGUAAAAGCUCUUUUACCCGAGAUGAUAAUGACAGUAUCGGGAGAAUAAGCUCCGGCUAACUCCGUGCCAGCAGCCGCGGUAAU